UGUAAUCGAUAUAAAAUAAAAAGGUUUAAUACGUGACUCAUAAAUAUAUGCCACUUUUUGUCAAAAGUUACUGUAACACAUUUUCGUAUAAUUACAACGUCUGUACAAACUUAUUACACGCGUGUGUACUUUAAAGCCGAGUUAGUAACUUGAAAUUCAAUACAAAGUAAAGAGAAACACGGGUAAGUUAGCAUCAUUUCAAACAGCUAUGUAAAUAUAGGCAACUCCAGUAAUUUUCUUUGAUACAUGAGAUUUGGUUUUCUUUAAUUAUGAUUUUAAUACGGAUUUGUUGGUAAAUAACGAGUGAUUUAUAUAGUAGCUAUCUUCUUUAUAUAUAAUUUCUGUCUUGCUAUUAAGUAUGGUCCUAUAGACAUUACUAGAGACUAUUCAUUAGAUCUCGUUGUACUUUAAAUGGGAUGGACAAGACAAGCUAUCAGCUUUCAAAU